rnacentral:rRNA from 1 species
CCCGUCACAUCAUGGGAGUCGCUUGUAGCCGAAGUCGGCGCGCUAACCGCAAGGAGGCAGCCGCCUACGCUAUGAGCGGUAACUGGGAUG